rnacentral:rRNA from 1 species
UACGGGGGGGGUAAGCGUUGUUCGGAAUUACUGGGCGUAAAGGGCUCGUAGGCGGCCAACUAAGUCAGACGUGAAAUCCCUCAGCUUAACUGGGGAACUGCGUCUGAUACUGGAUGGCUUGGAUUCGGGAGAGGAAUGCGGAAUUCCAGGUGUAGCGGUGAAAUGCGUAGAUAUCUGGAGGAACACCGGUGGCGAAAGCGGCGCGCUGGACCACUACUGACGCUGAGGAACGAAAGCUAGGGGAGCAAACAGG